rnacentral:rRNA from 1 species
UAGAGGCAGCAGUGAGGAAUAUUGGUCAAUGGGCGGGAGCCUGAACCAGCCAAGUCGCGUGAGGGAAGACGGUCCUAUGGAUUGUAAACCUCUUUUGUCGGGGAGCAAAGAGGCCACGUGUGGUCAAAAGCGAGAGUACCCGAAGAAAAAGCAUCGGCUAACUCCGUGCC